ACGGCCCAGACUCCUACGGGAGGCAGCAGUGGGGAAUUUUGGACAAUGGGCGCAAGCCUGAUCCAGCAAUGCCGCGUGAGUGAAGAAGGCCUUCGGGUUGUAAAGCUCUUUUGUCAGGGAAGAAACGGUGAAGGAUAAUACCUUUUGCUAAUGACGGUACCUGAAGAAUAAGCACCGGCUAACUACGUGCCAGCAGCCGCGGUAAUACGUAGGGUGCAAGCGUUAAUCGGAAUUACUGGGCGUAAAGCGUGCGCAGGCGGUUAUGUAAGACAGACGUGAAAUGCCCGGGCUCAACCUGGGAACUGCAUUUGUGACUGCAUGGCUAGAGUGUGUCAGAGGGGGGUAGAAUUCCACGUGUAGCAGUGAAAUGCGUAGAUAUGUGGAGGAGUACCGAUGGCGAAGGCAGCCCCCUGGGAUAACGCUGACGCUCAUGCACGAAAGCGUGGGGAGCAAAUAGGAUUAGAUACCCUGGUAGUCCACGCCCUAAACGAUGUCUACUAGUUGUCGGGUCUUAAUUGACUUGGUAACGCAGCUAACGCGUGAAGUAGACCGCCUGGGGAGUACGGUCGCAAGAUUAAAACUCAAAGGAAUUGACGGGGACCCGCACAAGCGGUGGAUGAUGUGGAUUAAUUCGAUGCAACGCGAAAAACCUUACCUACCCUUGACAUGGACGGAAUCCCGAAGUGAUUUGGGAGUGCUCGAAAGAGAACCGUCACACAGGUGCUGCAUGGCUGUCGUCAGCUCGUGUCGUGAGAUGUUGGGUUAAGUCCCGCAGCGAGCGCAACCCUUGUCAUUAGUUGCUACGAAAGGGCACUCUAAUGAGACUGCCGGUGACAAACCGGAGGAAGGUGGGGAUGACGUCAAGUCCUCAUGGCCCUUAUGGGUAGGGCUUCACACGUCAUACAAUGGUACAUACAGAGGGCCGCCAACCCGCGAGGGGGAGCUAAUCCCAGAAAGUGUAUCGUAGUCCGGAUUGGAGUCUGCAACUCGACUCCAUGAAGUUGGAAUCGCUAGUAAUCGCGGAUCAGCAUGUCGCGGUGAAUACGUUCCCGGGUCUUGUACACACCGCCCGUCACACCAUGGGAGCGGGUUUUACCAGAAGUAGGUAGCCUAACCGCAAGGAGGGCGCUUACCACGGUAGGAUUCGUGACUGGGGUGAAGUCGUAACAAGGUAGCCGUAUCGGAAGGUGCGGCUG
rnacentral:rRNA from 1 species